rnacentral:rRNA from 1 species
UACGGAGGGUGCAAACGUUGCUCGGAAUUAUUGGGCGUAAAGCGCACGUAGGUGGUCUAUCAAGUCAGGUGUGAAAGCCCUGGGCUCAACCCAGGAAGUGCACUUGAAACUGACAGGCUUGAGUAUGGAAGAGGGUCGCGGAAUUCCCGGUGUAGAGGUGAAAUUCGUAGAUAUCGGGAGGAACACCAGUGGCGAAGGCGGCGACCUGGGCCAAUACUGACGCUGAGGAGCGAAAGCGUGGGGAGCGAACAGG